CCUACGGGUGGCAGCAGUGAGGAAUAUUGGUCAAUGGACGGGAGUCUGAACCAGCCAAGUAGCGUGAAGGAUGACGGCCCUAUGAGUUGUAAACUGCUUUUGUAAAAGAGUAAAACUAGGCACGUGUCCCCUGCUGCAUGUACUGUAUGAAUAAGGAUCGGCUAACUCCGUGCCAGCAGCCGCGGUAAUACGGAGGAUCCAAGCGUUAUCCGGAUUUAUUGGGUUUAAAGGGUGCGUAGGUGGAUUGUUAAGUUAGCUGUGAAAUGUUGGGGCUUAACCGUGAAACUGCCUCUGAUACUGGCAGUCUUGAGUACAGAUGAGGUAGGCGGAAUGCGUGGUGUAGCGGUGAAAUGCUUAGAUAUCACGCAGAACACCGAUUGCGAAGGCAGCUUACCAAACUGUCACUGACGUUGAGGCACGAAAGUGUGGGUAGCAAACAGGAUUAGAUACCCGUGUAGUC
rnacentral:rRNA from 1 species